rnacentral:rRNA from 1 species
AUUGAACGCUGGCGGCAUGCCUUACACAUGCAAGUCGAACGGCAGCACGGGAGCAAUCCUGGUGGCGAGUGGCGAACGGGUGAGUAAUAUAUCGGAACGUGCCCAGUCGUGGGGGAUAACGUAGCGAAAGCUACGCUAAUACCGCAUACGAUCUAUGGAUGAAAGCGGGGGAUCGCAAGACCUCGCGCGAUUGGAGCGGCCGAUAUCAGAUUAGGUAGUUGGUGAGGUAAAGGCUCACCAAGCCGACGAUCUGUAGCUGGUCUGAGAGGACGAGCAGCCACACUGGGACUGAGACACGGCCCAGACUCCUACGGGAGGCAGCAGUGGGGAAUUUUGGACAAUGGGCGCAAGCCUGAUCCAGCAAUGCCGCGUGCAGGAUGAAGGCCUUCGGGUUGUAAACUGCUUUUGUACGGAGCGAAAAGGCUUCCACUAAUACUGGGGGCUCAUGACGGUACCGUAAGAAUAAGCACCGGCUAACUACGUGCCAGCCGCCGCAGUAA